AUUGGGGUUCAGUCGGCACCUUCUACGUGACAUGGUGGAGUGUGCAUUACAUAAAGCCCCCAGGUUACAGACAGGACCCCUGGGGCCAGGAGAGGUGGGUGCCUUGUGAUCUGCGUCAUGGUGAGGAGGACUUCAGGGACAGACGGCCAGGGAUGUUCCCAGGUGGUGGAGGAGGCUCCACUGGCAGAGAAGCAGCGUCAAGCUGAAGACAUUGGGGUGCGAUGGCUGGCCAUGACAGCUUGUCUCCUUGUCCGCACACAGAACGCUGGAUUUCACUCUGUGACCCAGCCAGCGGUCUCAUCUCACAGCCGCAGCUUUCAGCAGGAAGGAGCCCACUGGUGCCUGCCUGACCUAUGAGGGCCCACACCGUUUUGCCCUCCUAACAUUUUGUAUUUGAAGUGCUUGUCACAGUCCACAAAAUAACCACUCAGAAUCUGUUACUAUUUUGUUUAUACGUUGUAUCAAGUGAAUGUUAAUAAGUCAUCUAAGUGUAUGCUUUAGUUAUAAAUCUUGGAAAAAUAAAAACUUCCUUUUGGAGGAAAAGUGAA